UCGUUUCCUCCUUGUGCAGGGUACUGUGCUGUGGAUCAGCCCCCACAGCGUAACAGGCUGUGCGUUUCCUCCUUCCAGUCUCUCUCUCUCUGGGCUCUCUCGUCCCUCCAUGCCAUGCAUGGUGCGUGUGGCAUUCUUCACUGCUCUGCUGCUGGGCCUCAUCUCCUCCCCACGCAUAUCUGGAUGCCUCACUGAUUCCUCCAUGGUUCCUUGGAUUCUCUUUCUCGCUCCAUGAUUUCUCUCUGGAAACCUGCCUUUAAAAACUCCUGCCAGAUUCAAACUGAAGGUAAAAAACUAAAGGAAAGGAAAAAAAAGGAAAUGAGGUCUUUUUAAAAUAAAUUCACAAAUAUACAAAUAAAGUAUAAGUAGUUCUCCAAUAUGAUCUGAUGGCAGUGAGAUCAAUUUAAUUGAAAAAUGACCAUGAUUAAACAAGCCAAACCAUUACCCAUCCAGCCAAUCUCAACUCAAUGGAUGUACCUGCUGCUCCCUGUUAUCUCAACCCCAGGAUGACGAGUGUGGUCUCGGAUUGGACUUCCUCUAGCAGUCCUUAUCGCAUCCUGUCAAAGAAAAUCUUUUGCGAAGAGAAAAAAUAAAAACUCUGCCUUUCUA